rnacentral:misc_RNA from 1 species
GUAACUAUUGGAAGAUGGAUUGGGAAAACUCCUUGUAUUAAAAAAGCAACAACUUCGGUCUUCCAAAAUUAAGAGAAUAGAUAACAGGCGAGAGUAUUUCAACAAAUCCUUGAACUAACAAGAACUUAUAAAGAAAAAUAUGAAUUGGCAUAUCAUUGUUCAUCCUCAUUCAUCAACUUGCAAGUUACUACCGAACUGAAAUUAUAAUAAGUUUUCUAUUCAAAUCUGCAACAGGAAUUAAGUGGUAGAAC